UUAAAGCUAAUUUUAUUGGUCUUUUUUGAAGGGCGUUAGGACUUUUUAGCCUGAUAGACAGUUUGUGGCCUCCAGUAGUGCCUGUAAAAGUUCCUGGACAAAGUCAAGACCCUGAAAUGAUGACAACUGAUCUUCCUCCUCCCAGCUUCUGUUAUGUUCUGACAGUUCAGUCUGGUGAAAUACACAUGGAAGUGGAUGAGGAAGAGAGGAUUUCUAAUUUGUACCAGCCACCAACUGUGCAUAAUCUAAAGGAAAUUCUUCAGAUGAGUGGGUGUAAUGAACGUUGUAGCUUUUGGGCACGAGUACUGUAUCUAAGGCCACAGGUAAUCUGUUCGUUUAGCAAUGAAAUUGACAUAAAAUUAACAUAA